GUGCUUUAAGAACAAAAAAAUCUACUUACAUUUAAUUUUAUACAUAUAUUUAUAUAUUGCGGGAGUGCUGUGGGUCACUUCAUCUCCCGCUCCCGCAUCUGUUUCUUCCCGCUCGCACUCCUUUGCGUUGGGUCCCACGGUACUCCCAAGGAAGAGGAGGCCUCUAAUCCAUGGGCUACACAGACAUUCGACUGGGUGCGUAAGAAUGCAAACUCCACGGUGAAAGCACUUGUUCAGUGCAGUUCACAGGAAACCCAGAGGUCGGGAGAGAGAGAGAGAGAGAGAGAGAGAGAGGGAGCGGGACAUUAGUCCACACAGGGCUGCCUCAUCUCGGUCCAAAGAGCCAUGAAAUUGUCCUUGAUUACCACCGCUUGCUCACAACAGGGCAGCAAUCAGGCUCAGAAUAAAGAUCCUGAUCCGUGUUUUGUGAGCGAGUUGAAAAUGAAGUAAAAAAAAAAAAAAAAGAAGAAAAACACGGCUGAGCACAAUUACUAGAAUCUGGCUGCAAGUCUCAUUUCGAGCGCUGAGCGCAGUCCUCACGCGAAGGCUGCUGGCUGACGCAAAUGCCCAUGGAAAAGGACAAGGUCAAUUUAGAGUUCAAAGCCGUGAACACUUUGAUGUGAUCGUCGCAAAUGGCUCAAUAGUCACAAAUGACGGGUUUUUUCGCGGGACACAUUUUCUUAUGGAAAUGGAAAUGUUUUAAUGCUGGUGCCGAUCCUACCAGCACCACAACUCUACCCCCCAACUAAAAUGUCAGACACUGCCAGUGAUUCAACUCAUUAUACAUUUAUGGUUAGGGAUCUAGGUAUUAACACCAUGUACUACAUGAACUAACUACAACAGUACAAAAAAACCUUUUCUUUACAUUCAGGCAAAGCUUCAUCCAUCAUUGAGAACUGCCUCCAGAGCAACAGCACUCUCUGCUCUAAGUCUGCUAGUUAUGACUCUGCCAGUUCCUCAGCUGGAGCUGGAAAACAUUACAAGAGAAAGAAAACAUUGAGUACAGUUUUUAAGGAAGUGGGUCUGUGUUGUGGGACGGUUUGUGCUGUGGGAAACCCAGUCUACACCAUUUUCUGAAGAGCUUCAUCAUCAAUUUACAGACAAAUCACACCGUUUUCUCCAUUUCAUCAUAGGAAGGGCUGAACAGUGAACUCUUAACAUCACAAUAGCUUUGCAUCUGGAGAAAACAAACAGAAAUCACAACCAUGGGAGCAUUAAGAGGGUGUCGUUUUGUUCUCCAACCCCUCAAAAGCCAUUAGGCAGCUCUGCCAAUCCAUCAUUUCAUGGGCCCGUUUGUACCCAUGCAAUAAAACGCAUGAGAGACUUACCACAAAUGAGAAGACAAACAGACGAGUAGAGAAGUGUUUACGAGUUUAAACAAGCCAUUUCCCUACGCCUUUGUCAUGGUUAUUACUUGGGACUUGUCUUAUUGCAUGAGAAUGUGGUUUUGGCACACUUGUGAAAGCAUUCUGAGUUUAAAUUAAAAGAGAGAACUAAAAAAAAGUUUCACUGACAAUGAAAAGGUUUUUUUUCUCCCCCUCUGACAUGUAUUUAGCAAUCCUGCAGUCCCAUCAAAAAACACAUUUUUUAAUUCUCAAUGAUUAGAAAACUAGCCUUUACCAUACACUACAUUGAAUUAAGUGUCAAACUCCAACCACCAAACAGCAUUCUAUACUCGUUUUUUUCUAUACAAAAUGCACUCUUUAACUACCAUCAAACUGACCACCAUCACCAUGCUAGAUUGAGAAAACACCACACAAAUGGCCGCACAUUCCAUGUGCUCCAACAGCAAGGGGGAAAGACUACAUUCCCCCUCAACAUCCUCAAGCACCCCUGUUUCAAGUUCAAAUGGCAUUUCCCCUUGUUACGGGAUCGAGCGGAAACCGGCGGUCUCCGUCUACAGCAGCAGCCUUUCAGAGAGGUGUUCUCACCCAUUGUUUGGUGGUCACACCUCGAUUAGCUCAAAAGCGGUGGCAAGCGUGCUCACUCGUGGCUCAGUCGGACUGUGGCCACUGAUUGGUUGACCUCUGACCCCCUCCCAUUGUGCCUCCCAGCUGCCCCCAUGCCUCCAUGUGUCCAUCUGGACAGUGAAAGGUUGCCAACUUUCAACGCCGGCCUCCAACGCCAGGACAGAAGCAAGGUGAUUAGGAAAGUGCCUGGGAGGGGUUUGGACACCACGGCUAGGGGCAGUGAGAGUAACAAUGGUGUAGUAUUUAGGGCUUGGGAAGCCAUUUGUAACAACUGUACGUUUGGGUGGGUCUACAUUCCUCACAGGCUAAUCCUUGAGGCUGAAUACACAGAGAUUACAGAUGAUUCCAGCUCUGACAUCACCUGUGGGUUGCAAUCACCACAUGACCAAGCAAUGAGAUAAUGUUGCCUAACCCAUUCUAUUAUUAAACAUGCAUAACUGUAUAAUACAUGUUACUACAACAAUGCUUCCAUUACACUGCCAUCCAUAUUAUUCAUUUGGAUGUGUGACAUCAUGGCAUUUGUGAAAUCGUUCUUGAUAAUGAUCCAAUAUUGUUCCAUAAAAGAAUGACCUUGUUGAACUUAGCUUGUAGACUACAACUUCAAACGGUCAGCUCCUUAAGCACUUAAUUGACAUACUUUCCCUGUGAUACAAUGCAUGCCUUUAAGGGUAUCUUCCUCAGAGGUCUGUGUUUAAACGAUCAUGACAGGUGAACCAUCACGUCCAGGACGGCAGCGAUGAUGUGUCUUGAUUGUUCAAAUGGCAUAGCACUGGGAAGUGUGCACACAUCUGGUUACAACCUUCUGUAGGGCGGACACACAGGCCCACACUAAUUUCCUACAGUUAGGAAGGAAACUCUCGAGAUCCCAGCAGCCAGGCCUACUUAAUAAACUUGUCGACAGUGGCCUAAAUUCGACUGCAGGGUAUUACAGCAUUUAUCCCCAUUCUGACACUAGAGGAAACAAGUGUCAGGAUAGGCUAAGCGACAUCUUCCGUCAAGAGAUGUUCACUAGCACUUGAUUCAUUAAUUCAAGACCAGCCUAAACGUUCAGCAUUUGAACAGUCCACUUGCCGAUGACACUUUACUCUAUUUUAUGAGAGGGAAACUGUCGAUAACACAUAAUAAACCGUUUAAAGAAACUCCAGCGUCUCCAAGAUGUUGGAAUGAUGUGACUGCUUAGCACCAACGGUCUUGCCAGCCCAUUGAUAAAACCAGUGGCCGGGUAACGUGGAAUCUACGUUAACUAAAUGUAAACGAGAUAUGUCUAAGGCCAUGCAGCGUAUUAAAACACAGGGCGCGUUUUUGAAAUGUUUCAGAUAUACACUAUUAUUCAACAGAAUGAGUGAAGCAAGGUUGCAGCACGUAUGAAACAUGGUAUCAUUCCCGUCGACGCUACCACGACUUAUCAUACAAUCUGUCCAUACGGAGUCUAGACGCCAAUUAAGCUGAUAAAAAGGGAGUACUCUUAUGCGUAAUUGUGCAUAACAGGGGCCUGUACCCACGAAAUAUGAAUGGGAAACUGUUAUAUAGUAUACAUACACACAGCUAAAGGCUAUGUUCUCGUAGCAAAUGCGUUACCUUAAUCUACGAAUCGUCUGAAGUUACGCGAUAAAAUGUAAAACUAAGCAGAUGUAUGCUUCUGACUUCACAUUUUGUAAUAACAUGACUCAUAGUGAGCCCCCGGAAUCCCACAUGCUUGAGAAUACUGGGGUUUUGUGGCUUGUAAUAAAUGGUCGUGUGAUGAGAAGCCUAGUCUGUAGCCUAGGUUGAGAAUCACAACAUUAUAAAACAACAAAAAGCAUGAUAUAAACUGUACUCACCAAUGAAAAGAGUGCGCUAUACAGUGUGCACCGCCUUCUGUGUAAUCCAGAUAAGCUAUGAUAAAAUAUGAAAGAAAAUAAUUUCAAAAUUUCUGCUGAAACUGAGAGCGUGUAGAAUCAGUCUGACCAGGGCAGCUACCCUUGACGGGAAUGUUUGAAUCCUAUAGAGUCCGCCUCGGAGAAAUUACAUAAAGGGAACUCAAUGCGUGAGAAUAGACGGAUUUCGAUCAAUUUCGUGUAGCCAAAUCUUAGCGCUUUUGUUAUUCACUGAACAGUCACUGGCGCAGGGCUUGAGGUACUCUCACGGCUCCACCCGCAAGCCCAGCCUUCUGAGCAAGCCUAUUGGGCGCAGCAGCGCGACCAUAUAGUGUCCCUUCCUCGGUGAUGUUAAGUAAAAAGCCGUAUGCCAUGGCGUAUGGAACCUACCAUAAAACAGUGCCACCUUGUGGUGAUUUUACCUGGCCAUUGCGCUUUUUGUGGUGUUGUGUGAGUCCUAAACGGCCAUGUAUUGCAAGGAAAAUAUUUCAGAAAUGUUAUAAGUUACAGACAAAUAACUACAUUUUCCAUUUAUACAAAGCUACAGUAUCAACAUUAUCCAUGUUUUAUCUACUCAAAUGAAGUCUUCCAGUAAC
ensembl:lncRNA